GGGAGGGAGAUUCUUGCAGUGCACCAAGCUUCUAUAUUUGAACAAGGAUAGUGAAAUAUUCUACAGGUUAUCAUCAUCAAUGUUAAAAAGUGACUACAUGUCUGUGUGUGUUUAGAACAAAUUCUGAUUUUCAUAUCAUUUGACAGAAAUAUCAGGAGCCUGUACAGUUUGAGUUCAACAAGGAAGUAAUAAUUCCAGCUUAGACACCACUACACCAUACAGCAAUUCUUUUAUAAUGUGGUAAAAUAAUAUCCUAUUACGAAGUCAAACUUCACUGUAGAUGAACAUGUCAUAGGACUGUUAUUAUAACCAUAAGACCACAUUGUAACAAGUUGUAAAUAAACAUAAGAGUUAAAAAGCUGAA